rnacentral:rRNA from 1 species
AGUGAUAACAGAAAAGUUACCCUGGGGAUAACUGAGUCGUCGCCAGCAAGAGUUCAUAUCGACCUGGCGGUUUGCUACUUCGACGUCGGCUCUUCCUAUCCUGGUGGUGCAGCAGCUGCCAAGGGUGGGGUUGUUCGCCCAUUAAAAGGGAUCGUGAGCUGGGUUCAGACCGUCGUGAGACAGGUUUGUUGCUUUUUGGUGGAAGUGCACUAGUGCCUGAUGGGAAGCUCCCUUAAGUACGAGAGGAACGGGGGGGCGCCGCCUCUAGUUUACCAGUUGUCCGACAGGGCAUUGCUGGGCAGCCACGCGGUAGUGGAUAAGAGCUGAAAGCAUCUAAGCUCGAAGCCACCCUAAAAACGAGGCACUUUUCAACGCUCGUAGAAGACGAGUUUGAUAGAGCCGGGGUGUAAGUACCAAGGACCUCCGAGGUAUUCAGCCCGCGGCCACUAAAGUUGUAGCCACAUUAGUG